rnacentral:lncRNA from 1 species
UUUAGAAUAGAUUUAAAGGAUUGUUAUUUUGUAUCUGUAGCUAGUCAGAAUUUGAUUUUCAUAUCUGUACUAGCAUAGGAUGGAUUUGAUUUCUAAUUUAAUAAAAACUUUUUCUAUUUAUUUGUAAAAUAAAUUGAUUGUAUGUGAUCUUUUAAUUGACAGUCUUUAUCACUUGUAUAUUGAUGCGAAUGUGAAUAUAAAUAAGCAAAUAGUAAGUGUCGUAGGUCAAAAGAAACCCCAAAAUGAAGUUAACCAAAAAUAUAUAUGGC